AAGUUAUGAUCCUUUUGUGCGUCUUGAUCUUUUGAAUGAUGAAGUUGAGAAGCUGAGGAGUGAUGUUGGAAAGUUGACUGAUACAGUGACGACACUCAACAACUAUGUCGUUUCUUCCUUUGAAAAAGUGUUCAGUUUUCUGAAUAUGAAGGAACCCAAGCAAACGAGGGAGGAUUUUACUGAUUCUAAGAUUCGUCAGCCCGUGUUUGAUGACAAUACAUCUGGUCUUGGCGAAUUUGAUGGCUAUCAAUAUGAUGUUGUUCCUAACUUUGUCAAUCAAAUGAAUCAAGAUAAUGUGGUAGCUGACGAGGGAGUUACUGAUGGUGUUGA